rnacentral:rRNA from 1 species
UACGGGGGGGGCAAGCGUUGUUCGGAAUUACUGGGCGUAAAGGGCUCGUAGGCGGCCAACUAAGUCAUACGUGAAAUCCCUCGGCUUAACCGGGGAACUGCGUCUGAUACUGGAUGGCUUGAGAGUGGGAGAGGGAUGCGGAAUUCCAGGUGUAGCGGUGAAAUGCGCAGAUAUCAGGAGGAACACCGGUGGCGAAGGCGGAUCUCUGGGCCAUUACUGACGCUGAGGAGCGAAAGCGUGGGGAGCGAACAGG